rnacentral:rRNA from 1 species
UACAGAGGUCUCAAGCGUUUGUUCGGAUUCAUUGGGCGUAAAGGGCGCGUAGGCGGCGGGGUAAGUCUGGUGUGAAAUCUCGGAGCUCAACUCCGAAAUUGCACUGGAUACUGCUCUGCUUGAGGGUUGGAGAGGAGAUCGGAAUUCACGGUGUAGCAGUGAAAUGCGUAGAUAUCGUGAGGAAGACCAGUGGCGAAGGCGGAUCUCUGGACAAAUCCUGACGCUGAGGCGCGAAGGCUAGGGGAGCAAACGGG